rnacentral:rRNA from 1 species
CGGAAUUGCUAGUAAUCGCGGAUCAGCAUGCCGCGGUGAAUACGUUCCCGGGCCUUGUACACACCGCCCGUCACACCAUGGGAGCCGGUAAUACCCGAAGUCAGUAGUCCAACCUCGUGAGGACGCUGCCGAAGGUAGGAUUGGCGACUGGGGUGAAGUCGUAACAAGGUACC